rnacentral:sRNA from 1 species
UAAAGUGUCGUCCGCGUAGCAAACUAUGC